AGUGAACGCUGGCGGCAGGCCUAACACAUGCAAGUCGAACGGCAGCACAAGAGAGCUUGCUCUCUGGGUGGCGAGUGGCGGACGGGUGAGGAAUGCAUCGGAAUCUGCCCAUUUGUGGGGGAUAACCUCGGGAAACCGGGACUAAUACCGCAUACGACCUACGGGUGAAAGCAGGGGAUCUUCGGACCUUGCGCAGAUGGAUGAGCCGAUGCCGGAUUAGCUAGUUGGAGGGGUAAAGGCCCACCAAGGCGACGAUCCGUAGCUGGUCUGAGAGGAUGAUCAGCCACACUGGGACUGAGACACGGCCCAGACUCCUACGGGAGGCAGCAGUGGGGAAUAUUGGACAAUGGGCGCAAGCCUGAUCCAGCCAUGCCGCGUGUGAAGAAGGCCUUCGGGUUGUAAAGCACUUUUGUUGGGAAAGAAAAGCAGCCGGUUAAUACCCGGUUGUCAUGACGGUACCCAAAGAAUAAGCACCGGCUAACUUCGUG
rnacentral:rRNA from 1 species